UGAGGCUUCCAUAUAAGGGUCGUCAUAGACGAUGACGUCGAUAGGCUACAGGUGUAAAGGCAGUAAUGCCAUAGCCGAGUAGUACUAAUUACCCAAUCGCUUUCUUCUG
rnacentral:rRNA from 1 species